GCUCACUUCGGCAGUGCAUAUACUAAAAUUGGAACGACACAGAGAAGAUUGGCGUGGCCCCUGCAAGAGGAUGGCACGCAAAUCCGUGAUGCGUUAAAAAAAGAA